rnacentral:rRNA from 1 species
CACCAGACUCCUACGGGAGGCAGCAGUGAGGAAUAUUGGUCAAUGGGCGCGAGCCUGAACCAGCCAAGUCGCGUGAGGGAUGACGGCCCUACGGAUUGUAAACCUCUUUUGUCAGGGAGCAAAGGGCGCCACGUGUGGCGUUUUGCGAGUACCUGAAGAAAAAGCAUCGGCUAACUCCGUGCCAGCAGCCGCGGUAAUACGGAGGAUGCGAGCGUUAUCCGGAUUUAUUGGGUUUAAAGGGUGCGCAGGCGGAAUGUCAAGUCAGCGGUAAAAUUUCGGGGCUCAACCCCGUCGUGCCGUUGAAACUGGCGUUCUUGAGUGAGCGAGAAGUAUGCGGAAUGCGUGGUGUAGCGGUGAAAUGCAUAGAUAUCACGCAGAACUCCGAUUGCGAAGGCAGCAUACCGGCGCUCAACUGACGCUCAUGCACGAAAGCGUGGGUAUCGAACAGGAUUAGAUACCCGGGUAAUA